rnacentral:lncRNA from 1 species
UUUUCAUUUUGAGUGUUUGUACCAUAUUUUAAGCAAUUCAUAACAAUAUUAUUGAAGUUCACUGAAUUAGUACCAACUUUGUAUGAGUUUUGGGAUUUUUAGUAUAUACUGUACAUAUUCAAGAUCCUCAUGAAAAAGUUUCUCAUUUUAUUUCUAAAACAUUUGCAAUGUUUGAUACUACUUCUAUAGUUUUAAUAAAAUGAGUUAGAACUUUUUCAAUAGAUGAAUUCUUUAAAAAGCAAAGACUCUGAUAUCAGUUUCUGUAAUAGCUUUAAUGCAUAAUUGAAAAGUACCUCGGAGAGAAGAAGCUACGUUUGCUUCCCUGUUUCUACUGUGCAUGUUUUAGAAUAGUGUUGAUUCACAGUUGGAGAAAAGGGGUGGAUACCUCUUCUGGCCACUUCAAUACCUUGGAGAAGUGAAUAGACUCUAGCUGAUAAAUUCUUAAGUCUUUCACAUUCAUUCUUAGAUUUCUAUUCUAGAAGUAGUCAUUAUUUAUUUGAAAUGUGUAGCACCUUAGUGAAUGUAUUCAGUUUUACUCAGUCUUUGCAUUUGCAUUAUUGUGUCGUGUUCCAUAUGUGGAAACUGUUUACUAACCAAGUAGUAUUUAAUUAUUAUACAAUAUUAUGUUAGACAUAGGGUAGUUAAUUCAAAAUACAAUCAUAAUAAAGAGUUUUAUCAAUCUGUACCAUGGAAAGAACUAAUAGCAUAAUGGCUCCAGUAACUUUAUAAGUAAGAUAAUGGAAAAAUUUUCAGUGUAUAAGGAUAGAAAAAAAAUUUUAAAAAGCUUCACUCUCUCAUACAGAACAGUGUGCCACUUAAACCAUAAAGCCAGUCUUCUCUUUACAUAGCAAAAUAUCAUUACAGAAUUCUUCAUAUUCAACUUCCUGUUACAUGCAUGGAAUUACAUGCAGUGUUUUGCUAAAUGAAGUUAAGUUGGAGGCUACAAUAGUAUGUACAAAGAUAUUUCUUCUAACAGUUUUUAUACAUAUGUUUUGUUGGUAGAAUACCACAAAACAACAGGAUAUUGAAGAGCAUCUUCACUAGUUAAAAGAUUUUAAAUUUAACCAGUAAGAGUUGAUUUUUCUUUUGUUUGGCUUUUUUGCUUCUGUUGCUUUCUUUAAUGAAAAAGAAUAAUUUUUUUUUGUUGUUCAUUAAUCUUUAUGUUCCUUCUUAGUAAAUGCAUUUUCAUACAAUAUACUCAGGUUGACUGUCAUCAAAUGGGCACUAUUCCAUUCUUUGAAAACAUUUAAUGCUAAGGAACUCUGUUUCUGUUGGAGCUCAGAAUAGAUAAUUACAAAUGCUAUCUGACAUAUGAGAAAACUUUUUUUUUAAGUCCACAUAUUUUUAUUAGAUAUUUUCUUCAUUUACAUUUCCAGUGCUAUCCCAAAAGUCUCCCAUACCCUCCCCAACAUAUGAGAAAACUUUUUAAACUUGUUAGAGAAUAAGUCUGUGGUCCAAAAUUCUUUCUUUUUUUUUUUUUUUUAGAAAACCUAAAAAUAAGUUAAAAGUAAGAAUUCUAAUUCUUUUAUCAGUUUUAUUUGAGAUAUAAGUAUAUUACAUAAUAAUUUAAUGUUUAAAUAACUAUAAGUCUUCAAAGAGAAAAAGGUGACAUAUUUAUAGAUUAACACACAUCUAUAUUUUCUAACGUAAGUUGGCAUACAGGAAAUAAAAAUUGCUAAUGAUGUCAAAGCAGCUACAAAGCUUGUACUUCAUUCAAAGUUGGGUAUGACAAAUUUUGAUGUAGCAUAAUUGGCUUGUAAAGCUUUGUCUUAGAGAAAUUUUCAUUAAAUUCCAUAGCAUUAAACAAAUUAUUAGAAUAUAUUAUUACCUACAAGGAAUAAAAUGAGUUAUGUAAUAAACUAUCAACCUUACAUGGUAGAAAAUUUGUGGAAAAAAUUAUUUUUUACUAAAACUUUUGUUAGGUAAACAGAUUUAGUAAUCUGCAAAUUUUUUGGUUUGUUGUUACUGUUAAACUUAAAUUCUUGAUCCUACCUUGUUACCAUACUUCUUAACUGGUUGUCUGUAUGUCAGAACCUAGAAAUAAAUAAGGAAAUGUUUCCUAAGACCCAGUCUUAUAUUUUAUUUGCAUUUCUCCUUCUUGCUAUGGUUAUUGUUUUUUAUUACUACAAGUACAAAAAUGUUAGCCAUUACUAUUAUUCAAGGAAACAAAAUAGUGAUAUUUUAAAUUGUUUCUCUUCAUUUGGGAUUUGCUAAUUAAAGUGAAAGUGCCAUAAAAUGGAAAGAAAAAAGGACUUUUAUUUUAAAAAAUCAAAUAUAGAGCUUGUCAUUAUUAAAUAUUACAUAUCGAAAUAUUUAGAAACACAGUAGAGACAGGGUUUUUUUUUUAAAGCAUUAUUCCAAAACUAUUUUCCUCCUCCUACAUUUAUCACAAUGGAGCUUGUGCUAAAGGAUUUCUUGGCCAUUUUAGAGACUAAUCUAGUUAAAAGGUUUGUUUAUGCUUCCCAGCUCCGUGCUGCUGAUGGCAUUAGAAUGCUGGCCAGAGCCAGACAUCUAACUGUUUAUAACAUUCACAUUUCAAUUAAAGCUACAGUGUUUAGUUCACUGUGUAUCAGCAAGCCUAUACCAGCUAAAAGGAUUGCUGGUAAUGUUUGUGAUGAUUUUGUGUUGCAGUCGACUUUGCUAGAUUUUGCAGCUCCCAAGAAUAUAUUUUUUUAAUAUAGGAAGUGUUAGCAUUUAAAUCUUUUACAGAUAUAUAAAACAAGCAAUAAUAUAGUAUUUUCUAUUUAUUUUUGUAACAAUUUCUUUUGAAAAUAAUAAAGCCUAACUAUUUGC